GCCCAAAAACACUCACACUCCAAAAAAUAGGUUUUCUUCAACCUUAAACCCUAAUUUACAGAGGGCUAGCUAGCUCUCUUUGCCAUAAAAGCUUGAGUUUGCUAACUUGAGCGUCGGAGUGUGAACGCCGGGUACCCUGGCUUCACCUCUAACCUAUAUUUCACUGUUUUGCAGGCGUGAAGCUCAUUUUGAAGGACACCUCUCUUGUUUCUGACCUUCCACCAUUGUUACCACUCUCUCUCCCCUUCUCACCUCCCCCGAACUUCAGAUACACCGCAUCGCACACAAUAAACUAGUGAGGUAUUCCAUCUCCCCCAAAAAUAUAAAUUCAUUGUUCUUGAUUGAUUUUGGAUUUUCCUACCCCAAAAUCAGUUGAAAACACAGGGCUUCGGGGAAAAUUGGAAGCCGAUAAUAAAUUCCGAUGCAUUCUUUUAUCAUACAUGUCAAUAUGUGUUUUGUUCCCGAGGCUUGUUCUUCAGGUCGGCAUUCUGACACCACCAGUCUUGGACCAAAUUCAGCCACGGCUCUGUAUAAAAUUUUCAACUCUGUCACGGUAAGCAAAUUAGGCAUGUUAUUGAGGAACAAACUCUUUAGACUAGCUUUGCAAUCCUGCACUUUCAGUAUCAAAAAGGAAUUUUCACAGCUAUGAUUCUCACCAUAAAAUCUUAUUAUUUAUUUUUUUUUUCAUUUUUUUCAUUUUUUUCAUCUUAGUGAACGGAAAAGCUAGAAUGGACUGCCACUUAGAAUUGGCUGAAUACUUUUUGACUAGUUUUCUUUGUCAUCAAAAAGCAAGAUUGAUUUCGGCUUACGUUGAUUGUUGAACCAAUCCUUUUUUUUUUUUUUUUUUUUUUCCAGCGUCCAUGUGAAAACCUAUCGAUAAAAGCACGUAUGUCCAGGUGUGAUAACAAAAGCAAGCCACUUUAAGAAAUAAUGCAUGUACUUAGCCAUGGAACAUCAUCUUAUUUUGAAAGGUCAAUUCACUGGCGCCAAGUUUAAAUCAACAUUGUGAAUUAGAUGUAACUAUCUCUAUGAUUUCAAAUCAGUACUAAAAAUUCCAUUUAAUUGUUACCUCAUAAGACUGUGCUUCAAGCUUUUUGCUUGUUCAUAUCAAGUUAUUGUCUGGAUAAUGUUAUUCGGACACUUAUUACCAUAUCUAAUGUUAUAAGUCAUGUGUAAUAUCUAAUGUUCAUUGGUUACUAUUUGUUAAGUAUUACUAAUAUUUAGUUAGUUAAAGGUUGUUGCAAGUUAAUUGUUCUUAUUGGUAGCGUAACAAUUGGACUAGCACCAUCACGAUUUAAGGAUAGAAACAGGCUUUCAUAUCAAUAGCCUCAAAUGGCUUUGUAAGAUGACCCUAGAAAUCAAAAUCUUGAAGAUGUUGUGUCUUGCAAUUCAUGAUGAUUCAUGCGUCUGUUUGUUCUCAUAGAGAAAUCAUUGCCCUCCUUUGCUUUAUUUAUGUUUUAUUGGAUGGUCCCAGAGUCCCAGCAUCUGUUUAGGCUUGUACCACUCUGUUCUAUUUAGGAUUGUGACCUGUUUGCAAGUUAAUUGAUGGUAAUUGUUUGAAGAUUGGUCCCAUCUAUUCGUAGGGCUAACUAGUACUUCCUUUUUGUUAGGAUUGUGGUAACACUUGAUUACAAGUAAAGUAAGAUGAUUCCAUUCUUGGCAUGUUUUAUUGGAUAAGAUUCCUAUGUUAAAGAAAGAUAUUAGUUAUGAUUGUAUCUACAGAGGAAAUGGGAGAACAUUCAGAGAUAAUGGAGAUGGGAGAUCAAAAUUCUUUAUUCAAUGAUAAUCAAACAGUUCAAAGUCUUGACUCCUAAUUGAAAACUUAGGCCUUAUUUAAAUGACAAAAGACCUAAUCAAAAGAAGAAAGAAAGAAUCUAUUGCUAGCAUAGCCAGUUCUGAAUCCCAUUCUGUAUCCAAAUUGCUUCUUUUCAUCUUAGUACGCUUUGAUUUAGCCUAUAUUCUGGCUCCAGGGUUCUCUGUAGUGGGCAAGUUUCCUUCAUAAGAACAUUUUAAAACAUCUGGUUUCCUCACUAACCGGGGUCCAACAGGCACCUUGCUGGUUUUCGGACGAAUAUCCUGCACAAGCUUAAUACAUUAUAGCAUAAAGUCUACAUGUUCAUGAAAUGCUGAGGGUUUAGAAAAGAGCCUAUUGUUUUUAAUGGAAAUGUUACUAUUUUUAUAAAUCUAAUUAUCUGUUCUCGUGAUUUUAAGCUGUAGGCAUGCAUCAUAUAACAAUGUGGUGAAUUGAUUGAUCUUGUGAUUUUAAGCAGUAGGCAUGCAUCAUAUAGCAAUGUGGUGAAUAUUGAAUUUGCUUUGAAAAUGGAGGAUGUGUUAACCUGAUCAAAUAUUGCUGUCGGAACUGCAAGGGUUGCAACAGCAUUGGGAGAGUCAACUAUCCCAGAGAUCCUUCCUUCGCAUGGACAGCAUGAUAAAAGCAGAUAUACCUGACAAUGACCAUUCAGUAAUGUGUCUAUCUUCACAUGCGC
rnacentral:lncRNA from 1 species